rnacentral:tRNA from 1 species
GCCUGGAUGGCUCAGUCGGUAGAGCAUCUGACUUUGGCUCAGGUCAUGACCUCACGGUUCGUGGGUUCGAGCCACGCAUCGGGCU